rnacentral:rRNA from 1 species
AUUGAACGCUGGCGGCAUGCCUUACACAUGCAAGUCGAACGGCAGCACGGGUGCUUGCACCUGGUGGCGAGUGGCGAACGGGUGAGUAAUACAUCGGAACAUGUCCUGUAGUGGGGGAUAGCCCGGCGAAAGCCGGAUUAAUACCGCAUACGAUCCACGGAUGAAAGCGGGGGACCUUCGGCCCUCGCGCUAUAGGGUUGGCCGAUGGCUGAUUAGCUAGUUGGUGGGGUAAAGGCCUACCAAGGCGACGAUCAGUAGCUGGUCUGAGAGGACGACCAGCCACACUGGGACUGAGACACGGCCCAGACUCCUACGGGAGGCAGCAGUGGGGAAUUUUGGACAAUGGGCGAAAGCCUGAUCCAGCAAUGCCGCGUGUGUGAAGAAGGCCUUCGGGUUGUAAAGCACUUUUGUCCGGAAAGAAAUCCUUGACUCUAAUACAGUCGGGGGAUGACGGUACCGGAAGAAUAAGCACCGGCUAACUACGUG